GGAUCAACACGUCGGUCGUGCCUUCGGUAUGAACUGGCGUCGUUGGUUUCUCCCUUCUGACGAACCAAGAUGUCAUUAAGUUGGUGUUUUGGGGAGUUAGGACUGUUACUUUGAAAAAAUUAGAGUGUUUCAGGCAGGCAAUUGCUUGGAUACUGCAGCAUGGAAUAAUGGAAUAGGACUUUGACCUAUUUGUUGGUUUCUCGAGGUCAAAGUA
rnacentral:rRNA from 1 species